rnacentral:rRNA from 1 species
GAUGAACGCUGGCGGCAUGCCUAAUACAUGCAAGUCGAACGAGAGGAAGGAAAGCUUGCUUUCCUGAAUCUAGUGGCGAACGGGUGAGUAACACGUAGGUAACCUGCCCAUGUGCCCGGGAUAACUUCUGGAAACGGAUGCUAAAACCGGAUAGGUAGCAGACAAGCAUUUGACUGCUAUUAGAGUGGCCUUGGCCAUGAACAUGGAUGGACCUGCGGUGCAUUAGCUAGUUGGUGAGGUAACGGCCCACCAAGGCGACGAUGCAUAGCCGGCCUGAGAGGGCGGACGGCCACAUUGGGACUGAGACACGGCCCAAACUCCUACGGGAGGCAGCAGUAGGGAAUUUUCGUCAAUGGGGGGAACCCUGAACGAGCAAUGCCGCGUGAGUGAGGAAGGUCUUCGGAUCGUAAAGCUCUGUUGUAAGAGAAAAACGGCACUCAUAGGGAAUGAUGAGUGAGUGAUGGUAUCUUACCAGAAAGUCACGGCUAACUACGUGCCAGCCGCCGCAGUAAUAC